CAUCGACACCCCAUACUUUGAUAAAUUAUGAAAGCCCUUGUUACCAACAUUGAGGCAUAGAAAUAAUCUUAUCGAAUUAAAAUGACUGCUGUUGCAUUUUGGUGGCACAUACCAUACUUGUUUUUAACAUAGACGUAUUAUACUUACUUUUCUUUAGGUUGGUAUGAUUGGUAGUAAAACGUCAAACGUCAUUUGAAUUGUCGUGAACGUGGAAAUACGUGGUUAUUUUUUAUUGUAAUUGGUAAAAUAACUUUAGCUGUUAUUUAAAUGGGGGCCAAAUCUUUAAGGAAAUGUGAAGUUUGUAGUGGGUGUGUAAGAAGACUAACUACUGACGCAUUUUUGGCCAAAUUUCCAACUUGAUCCGAACAGGUCGGUAAACUGAUGUUUGUAUGCAAUAUUUUCAUUUUUUACUUUGAGUCGUUAACAGUUACUAAUUUAAUUAGUUUUAGUCGUGUACAAUCCAUGAUUAAAACGAAAAUAUUUUGUGAAUAAAGUAUUUUUAAGUAAAAAACUAAGUAACCUAUGACACGAAUAGUGUACGACCAAUUUUAUCGAUAAUCUCUUUAUUUCAGAUGUCGAUUAUGGGCAAAGCUGAGGAAAAGGAAAUGAGGAUUUGGCGUAUUUAUUUACCUAUUCAAAAGCUGAAUGGAAACAAGUUCAUUUGUGGAAAUCAUUCUCCAUCCAGUGCCUUCAAUAAAAAGGGACCAGAUUAAAAAAGAAUGCGCGCGAAUUCAGCAUAUUGUAAUAUGCCUACUUGAAUAAUAAACUAUGUUAUUUUUAUCAUGUAAAAUAAAAUUGUUUAUAUAUAUAUAAUGUUCUUUUAUUUUAUUAAUAGGUAGUACAGUAGGUAAAUACAGCAGCACGUAUCGCACAUUUAUCGAUAUCGAUAAACAGUAGGUACUGGAAGUGUCGAGCCCUAGCGUUGUUUUUUUUUGUGUUGGUAGUAUUGUGUGGUUUUUCUUUUUUUAACAAUUAUGGCCUGGAUGCGAGAUCUUUAAGCCUGUAUUUGGUGUGUUGGGAUAUGUACGUUCAUAAUUCGGUUCGAGGAUUGUUCGAGAGUGCCGACUCUUAAAACGUAGUGAUUAUAUGCUCUUUGACAAAUACAAUAAAAUGAAUUCUAAUAAAAAAAGAAACAGUAGACUCAGUAGAGGUACGAGGUACUGAAAAAAUAUUAAUUAAUGGAGAAGCCGAAGUUGGAGGAAAACAAGAAGAUUCGAGGAGAAUGGUGUGGCACUUAAUGCCGCCGGGACAGUAACCUAGCUGCAGCUCCAACGCUAGGGAAUUGGGCUGAAUGAACGCAACACGUGAUCGACAGCCCACCUGCUUCCUGCCGAGCGUCCCUACACUACAUUUACAUGGAUUCGCUUAUUCUGCUCUACAAAACUUCUGAGCUGAUACAAGCAGCCAGAAUGAGUCUCUGCUGAGUCGCCUGACGACUGACGUCUUCGUGUGAGUCGCCAAUUGCAGGGGAAGAUACGAAUAGUUAGGUAUAAAAGCUACUUUAGUCAACCUCGCCUCAGUACUGUUUGUAUUGACUGAAAUACAAGUAGCAUAUAUGAGACGUUCGGACGUAUCCGUGAAAAUACGAAGGUAAAGGAAAUUGCACUACAUUUUUAGAACCUAUUCACCUGUCAGUAAAAUAUUGAAAAGGAAAGUUCAUGAGUUUUAUUAUUUUCUUUCCUCCAACAGCUUCACAUGGAGCAAAUGUAAACCUUUUAUGUUCAUAAUAUCAGUAAUGUCAAGGUACAACGCUCUUUAGAGCAUAUUGCCAUUCCUUUUACUCGAGUGGCCUGUGGGUUAACUAUACGAAGCGAGCCUACAAUGCAUUAAAAGUGCAGUAUAACAAUGCAUUCAGAAUGCUGUUGGGCUUACCUCGUAGAUGUAGUGCAUCCGGCAUGUUUUGCGAAGCUAGAAGUUUUCUGGCAAUCAUGCGCAAGAAAAUAGUAUCUCUAGGUCGAGUUAGAAGCAGUCCCAAACAUACAUGUUCGAAAAGUAGAACUCCCUUAGUAGGCCAAGCAAUAAGAAGUUAUAGAGGGAAAUGCUAGGAACACAAUUUUUGACUACGUAACUUUGUUUGGACUAGUUAGGAGGUGAACAUAUCAAAAGUCCCCGGCUGUAGCCCCGGUGCU